AUUGAACGCUGGCGGCAGGCUUAACACAUGCAAGUCGAGCGGGGUGAUGGUGCUUGCACUAUCACUUAGCGGCGUACGGGAGAGUAAUGCUUAGGAAUCUGCCUAUUAGUGGGGGACAACAUCUCGAAAGGGAUGCUAAUACCGCAUACGUCUUACGGGAGAAAGCAGGCGAUCACUUGUGACCUUGCGCUAUUAGAUGAGCCUAAGUCGGAUUAGCUAGUUGGGGGGGUAAAGACCUACCAAGGCGACGAUCUGUAGCGGGUCUGAGAGGAAGAUGCGCCACACUGGGACUGAAACACGGCCCGGACUCCUACGGGGGGGAGCAGUGGGGAAUAUUGGACAGUGGGGGUAACCCUGAUCCAGCCAUGCCGCGUGUGUGAAGGAGGCCGUAUGGUCGUAGAGCAGUUUAAGCGAGGAGGAGGCUCAUUUGGUUAAUUCCGAAGAUGAGUGGACGGUACUCGCAGAAUAAGCACCGGCUAACUCUGUGCCAGCCGCCGCAGUAA
rnacentral:rRNA from 1 species